CCGGCGCCAGCAACCCUGGCGAUAACCAAAAUCAUAAACAAAUUCCUCUUUGACGGGCCAGUAGCGAUACUGGCCCUCUUUUU
rnacentral:sRNA from 1 species